UGUCACUAAUGAAUAACAACAGCACUAAUUAUUACCCUGCUUUGGAUGCUUCAGAUAGAAAUGAGAAGGGGCUCUAAAACAACCCCCAAGAAGAAACUUUAAAGGAAUGUAUUUCUUAAGGUGAAAACAAGUCUUCACAGAACACCAUCUGUUCACAAUGUAACAAUAUUUAGUAAGAUCUAAAUCAAAUGCAUUUGUAUUUGCAAAUAUGUCAUUAACACCACUGUGUGCCUAGCACUACAUGAAGAGUCUGAUGCUGGAAAAAGGUUCUCAGGCUCACCCCUGCUCUUUUAAAGCCACCAAAAUCGUUUCUCUCCUCAGAGUAGAUAAAAAAGUAAAUAACUUGCCCCUUUUCUGUGUGUAACUUAAGCAGGACUCUGUGAUGUGCUGUUUAAUUGUCUAAUUGAUAUAAAGAAUCAUAGAAUGGUUUGGGUUGGGAGGGACCUUAAAGAUCAUCUAGUUCCAAUCCCUGGGCUGUAAAGGGGGAAAAGGGGAGAAUGGGACAAACCAUGUGAUCAGUGCAAAUUACCAAACACCCAGUGCAAAAACAACAACUAAAUGCAACACCCUGCCAUGGGCAAGGAUGCCUAAUAAUGUGCUUUUCCUUUAGAAAUUGUUAGUUCCACAUUUGUGUGCUAGUAACAAGAUACACUUUGUUUAUAUAAGAAGAAGGAUUUGUAUUCUUUAAAAAAAAUCAGCACUUACCUGGAGUAACCUUAUUUCUUUUGUCUUCUUUGAACCCCUGUAAUGUAUUGACUCCUGACUGAAGCCUUCCUGCUGUCAUUCCCAGCUUCACAGGGCAGUAACCUGGUUCUGCAAUAGGACAUAUCAAAAUACAGAGAAGGCAUAGGAAGAUGACUAAACUCAUUUAGUCAUACUCACAGCUAAGAACUCAAAUAGGACAUGGCUCUCAAAGUGUGCUUUCCUAUCCAAAUGCUUCAUGCUAAUGAUCUGGGACCCAGACAGUUCCCAAUUCUAAAACAUCUUGUGACCUUCUGGGUCAGCAGACACUGCACUCUGUACAUGGACCAGAAAAGAGGAUCCAAAGAAAUUCUCCAGCAGCAAAAGUGUUAUUUUGCAGCUUCCACAAACAGCUGACACAAAUCAGAGAAGCAACAGCACUGAGGGCUCCCACCAGCUGCUGCUAACAACAGCCACAGCUGAGGCCCAUCUACGUGAUCCCUCAGCUGCAGCUUUUCCAAUCCAGAUCUUUAUCAGACUGGAAAGAGGCAUUCAGUUCUUGGCCAGGAUUUGCUCAUCUGCUCCUGCAAAGCUGCCAGGCCCUCAUCUAGCACAGUAAAGAACUGGAGUAUUUCUGAUGAAGAAAACAAAACAAAACUAGGUCCCACAUCUUUUGAAAGUUUAAGGAGGCUUUCAAACCAGGCCCUUGAAUCCAUUAGGAACACCACAGCCCCAGGACAUGUGGCUGCUGUCGACAGGACCAAGCUCACAGUGCCUUCACUCCUUGAUCUCCAUGACCAGACUAGCCUGGGAAAAGUAAGAGAUCUAAAACAGGCUGAAGGACAAACUGACAGACUCCAUGCAAUCCUGCACAAACCUGAAACCAUCUGCAUCUUUUUGAGGUGCACACUGACAAACCAGAAGUGUUUUCUCUUUUACAGGCAGAACUUACUUGCCCACAAAAAUUCAAGAAGAAACAUUUCUUGAGGCAGAAGUACUGAUUCAUUUUGGCAUCUUUCUAUUCCCAUAAAAUACUAGCCUUCAAGUCAGUUGAGCACAAUACAUCUCUGUAGUCAAAACAAAAUUCAAAACAUUACCUUUAAUUCUUCUAUGGACUGGUACCCAUUGUUCUUGAUCUUCUCUUUCAUGGUACUGAAAUCCAUCGGGUUUUUAAUGAUCAUGGAAUAGCCAGGGGCAAUAAAGUCAGUCACAGGAAAUGAAAAGAAAGAACUUGGAUCCUUUCUGUUAAGAAAGGAAAGAUGUUUUUUUACGUUUCAACUUAUAACAAAGAACAUACUGAGCUUGGAAUUAAAUAGAAAGGAAAUAACUAAGCUGAAAAGAAAUCAGAACUAUAAAGAGAGAAAUAGCUUGUGUCAGCAUAAUCUUUCCCUUUCAAGGUUGAAAAGAUCUCAUAUGCAAACCCAUGUACCAAAAAAGUACUACAAAUGUAUUUCAGAAGUUCUUUCUAUAUUUUGAUAAUUAUCUGUGUUCCCCAGAAGAUGAAAAAAACCCUGAAUUUUUUAAAAGGUUUUACAUUUUAACAAAGGCAUUUUACACCAUAUUAGAAAUAAUUAAAAAAUAGAAGACAUAUACAGAAUAUAAGAAUAUUCUUGUCAUUUCUCUCUUACUCUGAAAUUAUCAGAAGGGAAGAAACAGGAUUCAAAAUCAAAGUGCUGCUUUUUGUAUGCACAGAAAGGGGGCCAAAACGAACACAGGCAUCUUUUGAUAGUUUAAGUUUCUUGAAACUGACACGACACCUAGGUCUUGAAAAUUUACAGGCAAGAGAAAACUUGCAAACAAAGUUUCAAGCUCAGUAGUCUGGUGAGACAGCUAAAGGGAAAGAUCUUUCAACCACUCUUGCACAAGAUGCAGAUACUCUUAAAGUCAAGAAAGAUUAUCUUAAAUGAGAGACUACUUGAAAGAACUGCAGACUUGAUGGUUUUAACCAAAGACAUGUGGUUAGUAAAACAGUAAGAGAACAUGGUUGAAGUUUUCAAGUGCAAACUUCCUUUUCACAAUAAAUAAUGCUAAAAUAGGAGAACUCAAGGUAAAAGAAACUUUGGUAAAUUAAUUACAAUCUCUUGUGCUUUCCUUUCAAAAGCUUCCUCUAAAGAAAGCAUCACGAUAUUGGAAAACUUUUCUGGUUUUGAAAGCUUUUUAAAACUACAAUGAACUUGAGUGUGGAGGUGUUCACAAGAAGCCUAAGCUGAAGAGAAGUUCAAAGUACACUUUCCUAAACUAGCACUUAAAUUCCCAAGAUAGGCCUCUUAGCAAUAUAUUUACCAAUAAUAUUUUCACUGAGCUUUGUGUGUGCCCCUUCCCUUACUGGAUGUUAUUUUCACUUCAGCUCUGCAAGCCUGUAGCACAGACAUUACCUCUGCAGCUGCCUCAUGAGUUGAUUCAGAGCUUCCUGAAGUGGGGUCUGCUCCACCUCUAGAGCAAAAACAAGGAGAGGGGGAGAAACAGUGUGAGGCACAACUGACUGCACUUCCAAGAUAUUACAAAUCAACCAAACAAAACUGAUGCACCCUGAGAAUUCGGUGUAAAGGAAAGAAUACCAUGGCAAACCCCACAAUCCCUACUACUUUUCUCAUUGCCCUUACUUGACAUUCUGCUCACUCUGACAGAAGUACCAGACACCACUCUGCAAAGCAAGUGUACAGCAACCUAAUUCCAAACUUUGUACAGUAUGGAGAAAAACAGAUGGCACAAAAUGCCAAGUCACUUGCUACAGAAACAAAGAACAAUAAAACAUGAGUCAAUUACAGAAAACAUGAAUUAGCAAAAGAAAUGUCUUUGUUCCCUACCCUCCUGCUUGGAUAAAGAGCUCGUCAGUGGUUUCUCUGGUGACAAUUCCAUUCUGACGGGGGUCUGACAUUUCAUUUCCUGCUCUCCCUCACUGUCUCCAUGGUCUCGAUCUCGUUUCUUUUUAUCCUCCUGGAAAGAUUGUUAUGGAAAUGUAAAAGCACCUGCAAACCCUGCAUUAUUAAUGUACAUAAUGAUCUCUAGAUUUUUCAAAACGUAUUCACAAAGUUUAGAAAAUAAGAAUAGUUUGUAAGUGCUUAAAAAUUCUGUAUUCUUUAUGUACUGUCUCCAUCUGCUGGACACUGAAAUAAUUCAGCCACACAAUGCAAUGUAUCACUGAAUUAGUUGUUUAGAAAAUGUGACAGCUAGCUGGUGCGUAUCCUUUACAAAUGAGAUAGGAAUGCCUCACACACCGAGGCUGAACAUACUCCAGCUUAAGGAUACAAGUUACAGCCAUAUCUGCUGACCUUCUGAUGUGAAACCUAGAGAAAGUCCAAACAUUUUUUUUUGCUAUAAUGCAGUAGCAUGAACACAUACCUUAACUUUUCUCCUUCGUUUCUCCUUUUCUUCGCCAGGAACUUGUUUUUCUCCUUUCUUCCUCUUUUUCCUUUUUCUGUCUUUGUGUUUUUCAUGUUCAGAUUUGUCUUCGUAGAGGCUGGAAUCAAGUCCAGCAUUUCCAGUGGAAAG